AUGAAGUGUUUUCGUCAAGAAAAUACCUGGCACGAUCCAGAUAAAAUCAUUUACACACACAUGCACACACCAUCAGUUUCUAUAGUAAAGAAUAGACACUUUAAAAUCCUGGCGUCAAGGUUCAAGUCUGUUUUUCCUCAAACUCCCAUAAUUUUGGACCCUGGCGCUUUUUCAAAUGCCCGAGAAAUUCUUUUUUUAUUGACAGACUACAGAUGGUCUUUUUUUAAUAGCUGCACCAAAAGUCAGCAAGUGUCAAUCAUUUUUUUUUUUUUCAGCUUCAAAACAUUACAUGAAGUGUUUUCGCAAGAAAAUCCUGGCACGAUCCAGAUAAAAUCAUUUCAAACAUUUGCCCUCAGUUUGAAAGAUGUGUCCAUUGAAAGCAAAGACCGAGGCUGCUCGGGCUUUUAACCUAAAACCCUGGUGCUUACAGAAAGCACUAAAAGCAGACGACGAAGGAACUCUAGCGACUGCUUCAGUCCGCAGGCAGGGGGGUGAAAGACUGAGUUUUGACUAGUUUGUGUAUUGCCUACUCAUGGGCCUGCCCUCCCCCAUCUCUCCAGCUUCGGAUUCGGUGGUGUUACAAUGUACCCCGCUCUAUGCCUAGGGCAAAAACAUAUUUUUGUAGCAAUCUUGAGAUGAAUAGGGUAUAUGAAACUUUUCUGAAGAUACAAACUUCUCGAGGCAACAUCAACAAACAUCCUUUCCAAACAAAACAACUUUUAGAUUUGAUAGUAAAUACAACUUACUAGUUUGCAGAUCUCGAUCUAUCCGUUCAGUGUAGGUCUCCAAAAGUUCCUCCAAAGUCCCAGAGCUGAAGUCCUGACAGCUGAACCUGGUCUUCUGCUCUACGUGAUGUUCUUUCGAAGCGCAUACAAAGUAGGAGUUACUUCUGAAAAUAUGAAACAACUCCAACUCCGAUCAAUUCAACUUGGCACUUGCGUUUCCAGUGUUUGUCUGUGUUUCAUUCACUUCAAGAACAUACUCCAAAACAGUCCGGCGCUGUCCAUUGAAGAAGAAGAAGAAGGAGGAAAAAAAGUUCCACGAAAAUCACUCGAGUUAAAGUUUUCAUACACUUACCGGGCUACAGAGAAUUACGACGUCACGCAACAGGUGUCACUUAAAUAUUCGAUAAUUUGACAAGAGCGCAAACAAACGCGCUGCGCGUGCGGUGCGCAACAGGAGCGACAAAAGCCUUUCCUUCUUAUUAGAGAAAUUAGCAGACAAAAGCAGUCUGGAGUCAAUCAGUCCACCUCACAGAGCUCAUGCAUUCACAACUUUUUGCGCUCAAAACUUCAGUUCCGCAUUAAAUCCUCUUUUUGCGCAGGAGACACGGAAACCUUUUCAAACUUUCCCCUCUUUUCUUUCCAGAGGCUGCUCGGGCUUUAACCUAAAACCCUGGUGCUUACAGAAAGCACUAAAAGCAGACGACGAAGGAACUCUAGCGACUGCUUCAGUCCGCAGGCAGGGGGGUGAAAGACUGAGUUUUGACUAGUUUGUGUAUUGCCUACUCAUGGGCCUGCCCUCCCCAUCUCUCCAGCUUCGGAUUCGGAACAGGGGAGGGAGAGAAACCGCAGUCCUCCAACAGCGCGUUCCCAUUUGACGAACACUUGGACUAGUGUCUCAACCACUGCUCCUAUUAGUCAGCCAAUAAAGUUGUAGUAAUUAGUUUUUAUAAGGGAGAUGAUCUUUAUUGUGGCAGGCCUGGAUAUACUUUGGAAACCUAAUCAAAACUUUAUUUGAAAUAUUUUUAUGCAAAGUUUUACUUUAUAUUAAACACUUAUGUGUAGAAAACUUGUCAUACACCUGUGAUUUUUUUUAUUUUUGUUGAAAGAAGUCUCUUACUCACACCAAGGUUGCAAUUAUUUGAUAAGAAAGGCAGUAAAAAGAAUGAUAUUGUGAAAUAUUACUGCAUUACUCUAUUGUAAUAUAUUUUAAAACUUAUUCCUGUGUGGCAAAUCUGAAUUUUCAGCACUAUUACUCCAGUCUUCAGUGUCACAUGAUACUUCAGAAAUCAUUCUAUUAUGCUGAUUUUGGGCUCAAUUAUGACUGGUAUUCAGUUAUUAAUGAUGACUUUUCUUAUUAUAAACAUUAGAAUGAUUUCUGAAGGACCAUGUGACACUGAAAUUCAGCUUUGCCAUCACAGAAUAAGCUAAAUUUUAAAACAUAUUCAGAUAGAGUUAUUUUAUAUAGUAAUACUUUUUUCCACAAUAUUAUUGUCUUUACUGUAUUUUUGAUCAUUUAGGCUGCAAAUAAAUAUAUAAAUUACAUUUUUGAUGUAUAAUAGUAUAUAUUUUUUUUACCUAAAAUCUUUUUGUUGAUUUUUGGUUUUAAAAAAGUAAAAAUAAAUAAAUAAAUAAAUAAAAUAAAAUAAAAUGAUUUUAAAAAGUUGUUUAGGUUAAAUAUAUACUUAUAGAAGAACUGUAGAAUUUGUUUAAAAUAGUUUAAGAGGAAUUAUAGCAUGUCACAUAUACAUCAACCCAUACUGCAUAAAAUUAAAUAAUAUAUAGGCUAAUAUGCAAUGUUUAUAAAAAAGCCAUAAAAAAAAUAGAGUUUAAUUUAACAACACCGUUUUGAAUAACAGAGCGCUGUAACUUGAUUCAGAAAACUUUUAUGCUGUACAGAGUUUGCUGCAGCUCUACA
rnacentral:lncRNA from 1 species